rnacentral:lncRNA from 1 species
ACAAAAGUCAUAGUUCUUGAAAUCCUGGCUUCAGGCAAUCCUCCUGCCUCGACUUCCCAAAGUAUUGGGAUUACAGGUGUGAGCCAUUACACCCAACCCAAAAGCCAAUACAUCUUGAUAAAUCCCAAAUGUAUCAAAGAUUCAAAAGGGGAUCAAAAUGUAAAAAUUACUAGAAAAAAAAAACCCUGUAAGUUACAUAUAACCCUGUAGUGAAGAAAGACUUCUGAAUUCAAAAUCCAGGGCCAUUAAAAGAAAGAUAAAUUUGACUACAGUAGAAAAAGAAAAGGAAUGCAUAGUAAUGAAAAAAGAUGCCAUAAGUAAAGUCAAAAGACAAAUGAAAAACUGGUAGAAAAAAUAUUGCAGCUUAAGUAUGAGGAAGGAAAAGGCCCACUCAAAAUGAUAAUGCAAUGCUGAAAAUAGUACUAUUAGUUAAACGAUCCAGUAAUAAGGCAUAUUUGCUUCAUUAUACUGGGCGCUUGUCAUUUUCUAAAACAGAAGUAAUAGGAUACUGUCAUUAAGUCAGAGAACAGCCUAGGAGAGCCAAUGUGAUAAAAUAUUGAAGACAUAGGUUUACUGCAAGAGCUGCAUCUACAUGCACAGAGUUAAAGGGGAGGUUGAAGGACAAAUAAAGGAAAGAAAGAAGGGCAGUCUGAUGGAAGAAAUAUCACUCCAGAGAGUGAAGACCUCGCAUCUACUUACAUUUUCUCAUUAACAAGAGUGUCAGUUAAUCUGCCUGGGCAUCAAUUUCCUGAUCUGUAAAAUAUGGUAAUAAUAAUACCUUAUGCUGUGGUAAAGACUCUACUCUGUACUCGCCAAACCUAUUUUUUUUUCCUCCUGGGCACACAGCUAAAUGACAUUUUCCAGGUGCCCUGGGCAGUUAGUUAGAUCGGGUCAUAUGGACUAAAUACUGGCCAAUGGAACGUGGGUAGAAGUGAUAUACUUUGGUGCCAGGUUGAAUCCUUAAAACUUCCUUUGAGAUAUUUUAUGUACUCUCUUUUCCUUGUCUGCUGACUGGAUUCUGAAGAUCGAGGAUUCUGAGGUCCUAGAAAAAUGAACCUCUAGAUCUGUACUGUCCAAUGUGGUGGCACUUGAAAUGUUUUUGCUAGUCCAAAUUGAGAUGUAUUCUAAGUAUAAGAUACACACUGGAUUUCAAAAACUUUGUGUGCAAAAAAGAAUUUGAAAUUGUUUAUUAAUAAUUUUAUAUUAAUUACAUGUUAAAACAACAUUUUGGACAAAUUGGGUUAAAUAAGAGAUAUUAAAAUUUAUUGUGUUUAUUUUUACUUUCUUGAUUUAGAAAAUUUAAAAAUCGCAAGUAUGAUUCAUUUGUGGCUUCUACUGUAUUUUUAUUGGACAGGGUUGCUUAGGAGGGAAGGAACCUCAGUCCCUGAAUAACUGAUAGAGCAGAGCUUUCCAAAUACUUUGGUGUGCUGCAGGCUAGAAUGCACUUGCAAUGGGAAACUUCAGGGCUUGACCUUUGUUCUUUAAGAGUCCAUUUGAAGGUUCCCUGUAUACAUACAUGCCCCAGUUAAGGUAAAGGAAAAAGGAAUUUGUUUAUACCAAGUCAGGAUAAAGGGAAUGGGGGAAGGUAUCUUAUGAUAUGGUGGUGACUAUGACCAUCAUACCUGUAGACACUAGAAACAUCUGGCAUAACUAGCAAAGAAAAAGAGAAAAGGUUGGGAGACACAAAGAUCAGUCAAGAAUACAGAGCCCUUUUGAUACAGACUUUUCCCCAUAUAUGGUAAUUAAGACUAAAGUACAGAACUUCUCAGGGAAGCUUCUGUACUCAAAUCUUCACCAUUCUAAGUAGUAUUAGCACCUACACUGGCAACACCAUACCAAUUCUGGGUAGAUAUGCUGCAUGAACACAACUUCAACCAUUGGCACCUAUGCAUCCCAUAUAGUAAGUGUGCCCUCCUUCCAACCAGGGACUCUGGGGAAGUAUGCUCAGCGUCACAGAGUGA